GCUUAUACUCGACCGUCAGCGGCACGUGCGACUGCGCGCGAGCUCUCGGGCACGCGCACGGUCACGAAGCCCUGACGAGUAGGAGGGUCGCGGCGGUGAGCGCAGAAGGGCUGGCCGCGAGGCCGUCUGGAGCCGCCGUCGGUGCAGAUCUUGGUGGUAGUAGCAAAUACUCCAGCGAGGCCCUGGAGGACUGACGUGGAGAAGGGUUUCGUGUGAACAGCCGUUGCACACGAGUCAGUCGAUCCUAAGCCCUAGGCGAAAGCCGAUGUCGAUGCGGUGUAGUUUUUACGAUAAUACACAGAAACGAAUGACGACGACGACGACGACGACGACGACGAUCGCGAAUUAAUUCGUGUCUCUCUGUCUGUCUGUCUGUCCGUCUCUUCGGAAAAUAACGCGAGAGCACACACCCGUCGGGCGAAAGGGAAUCCGGUUCCUAUUCCGGAACCUGGCAGCGGAACCGUCAAAAAGUCGGGC
rnacentral:rRNA from 1 species